CCCCACGUGGUCCCGGCGUCCGGGGUAUUGCGAAGGUGGCAAGCGUGGUUCGGUUUUACGUUGCGUACAGGGUGUGUAGGCGGUUUUGUAGGCCGUCUUUUAAAGCUUCGGGCCCAACCCGGAAAGCGCAGAGGGUACUGCCAGGCUAGCGGGUGGGGGAGGAGCGCGGAAUUCCCGGUGUAGCGGUGAAAUGCGUAGAGAUCGGGAGGAAGGCCGGUGGCGAAGGCGGCGCUCUGGAACAUACCUGACGCUGAGACACGAAAGCGUGGGGAGCAAACAGGAUUAGAUACCCCAGUAUUC
rnacentral:rRNA from 1 species